UGUCAGUCUUAGGAUCUCUGUUUUAAUGUUAAUGCUGGUCACUUGUACCUGAACUUCCUAAGAGAGAGGGUAUAGUGAGGUAUGUCUGACCCCCACCCCACCCCACUUCCUGUCAUGACCUGAACUAGUUUUUCAGGUUUCUUUCGAAUCUCCUUUGUUGAGAGGGGAUGCAUUCAGUCACUUGGGGGACUUUUAUUUUAUUUUUGGUUUACAAAAGUGAGGGAUAUCUGAGUCUAGAGCAGACUGAAGAGGAGGGGAAGUACAGUCCCCAGAUAAAGGCCUUCAGAUGUCAUCUCUCACUAGCAUGCAGGCCACAGCCCAGAGGGAUUUUCUCCAGGUGGGUUUGACUGCACCAGAUGUUCACAGAGAGGACUGGGGAGAAUCCUGGGGAAGCUGUUCCCAGGUGCUGUCUGGGAGAGGGUAGGAGCCACCACUGCAAGAAUCCCACCCAGACUCAUCUCCCCAUCGCACCACGGAGAACAAAAGCCAUGGACAUGACACAGCAUUUUUAUUAGGCUUAAUGUUCCAGGCCAGGCACGGUGGCUCAUGCCUGUAAUCCCAGCACUUCAGGAAGCCGAGGUGAGUAGAUAACCUGAGGUCAGGAGGUCGAGACCAGCCUGGCCAACAAAGUGAAAUCCCAUCUCUACUAAAAAUUAGCCGGGUGUGGUGGUGUAUGCCUGUAGUCUCAGCUACUCAGGAGGCUGAGGCAGGAGAAUCGCUUGAACCCAGGAGGCAGAGGUUGCAGUGAGUUAAGAUCACACCACUGCACUCCAGCCUGGGUGACAGGGAGAGACUCUGUCUCAAAAAACAAAAACAAAAC
rnacentral:lncRNA from 10 species